AACGAACGCUGGCGGCGCGCCUAAUACAUGCAAGUCGAGCGAGAAGACGUAGCAAGUACGUUUGUAAAGCGGCGAACGGGUGAGGAAUACAUGGGUAACCUACCCUCGAGUGGGGAAUAACUAGCCGAAAGGUUAGCUAAUACCGCGUACGCUCCUUGGACUUCGGUUCAGGGAGGAAAGCGAUACCGUGGGUACCGCGCUCUUGGAUGGGCUCAUGUCCUAUCAGCUUGUUGGUGAGGAACGGCU
rnacentral:rRNA from 1 species